CGUCGAUGAUGAGAACCUUUUUCAUCCAGUUCUGCUACUGAACCACUGUGAUGACUCCAAAAUUACCAUACCAAGAUCUCUGAUAU
rnacentral:snoRNA from 1 species